GACGUGACACCCCUGUUUGGCAUUACAUCUGUGGCUAAAUUUAGAAUAUGACAAACGAAACAAAUUAUGCGCCGCUUACUUACAUAAAUGUAAGCUUAGCACCCUGCAAAGCUUAAAACGCAUAGGCAAUCAUCGAGAGAACGCUUUUGCUGUGUGAUACCAAAGAAUUCAGUGAAGCAAUUAAUAGAGUGCUACGAAUUUCUUCAGGAAAGAACCAAACAGUUCUACCAGAAGAAAAGAUCAAGUUCUCUGAUUUAACCUGCUCCGGCCCAAGAAGCUCUACGUAUCUUACGUAUUCAGCUGCUGAAAACUGCCAGUAAAAAAGAUCUAAAGAUGGCUGAUCUGCUGCAAACAAUAGCUCAGUUUGCGAACGAUCAUUGGGUUUCACUUUUGGUCGGAUUUCUGAUUCUCCUACUAUACCGGUAUUGUGUUGCACCGUUAUCUGUGUUCAAGAAACUUGGCAUCUCUGGGCCACCGCCGCUGCCACUGUUUGGAAAUACAGGAAGGUCCCUAUUUGAUGUAAGUUGCUCUUUAUUUGUCCAGUUUAUUGUGCGAUAGCCAGCAACACCCUUUAAUGGUCUCAUCCAUAAUA